rnacentral:rRNA from 1 species
GACGAACGCUGGCGGCGUGCCUAAUACAUGCAAGUUGAGCGAUGAAGAUUGGUGCUUGCACCAAUUUGAAGAGCAGCGAACGGGUGAGUAACGCGUGGGGAAUCUGCCUUUGAGCGGGGGACAACAUUUGGAAACGAAUGCUAAUACCGCAUAACAACUUUAAACAUAAGUUUUAAGUUUGAAAGAUGCAAUUGCAUCACUCAAAGAUGAUCCCGCGUUGUAUUAGCUAGUUGGUGAGGUAAAGGCUCGCCAAGGCGAUGAUACAUAGCCGACCUGAGAGGGUGAUCGGCCACAUUGGGACUGAGACACGGCCCAAACUCCUACGGGAGGCAGCAGUAGGGAAUCUUCGGCAAUGGACGAAAGUCUGACCGAGCAACGCCGCGUGAGUGAAGAAGGUUUUCGGAUCGUAAAACUCUGUUGGUAGAGAAGAACGAUGGUGAGAGUGGAAAGCUCAUCAAGUGACGGUAACUACCCAGAAAGGGACGGCUAACUACGUG